rnacentral:rRNA from 1 species
GAUGAACGCUGGCGGCGUGCCUAAUACAUGCAAGUCGAGCGAACGGACGAGAAGCUUGCUUCUCUGACGUUAGCGGCGGACGGGUGAGUAACACGUGGAUAACCUACCUAUAAGACUGGGAUAACUUCGGGAAACCGGAGCUAAUACCGGAUAAUAUUUUGAACCGCAUGGUUCAAUAGUGAAAGACGGUCUUGCUGUCACUUAUAGAUGGAUCCGCGCUGCAUUAGCUAGUUGGUAAGGUAACGGCUUACCAAGGCAACGAUGCAUAGCCGACCUGAGAGGGUGAUCGGCCACACUGGAACUGAGACACGGUCCAGACUCCUACGGGAGGCAGCAGUAGGGAAUCUUCCGCAAAGGGCGAAAGCCUGACGGAGCAACGCCGCGUGAGUGAUGAAGGUCUUCGGAUCGUAAAACUCUGUUAUUAGGGAAGAACAUAUGUGUAAGUAACUGUGCACAUCUUGACGGUACCUAAUCAGAAAGCCACGGCUAACUACGUG